CUUGACCUACGGGACGCAGCAGUAGGGAAUCUUCCACAAUGGGCGAAAGCCUGAUGGAGCAACGCCACGUGGGAGAAGAAGGUCUUCGGAUCGUAAAACCCUGUUGUUAGAGAAGAAAGUGCGUGAGAGUAACUGUUCACGUUUCGACGGUAUCUAACCAGACAGCCACGGCUAACUACGUGCCAGCAGCCGCGGUAAUACGUAGGUGGCAAGCGUUAUCCGGAUUUAUUGGGCGUAAAGGGAACGCAGGCGGUCUUUUAAGUCUGAUGUGAAAGGCUUCGGCUUAACCGGAGUAGUGCAU
rnacentral:rRNA from 1 species